rnacentral:rRNA from 1 species
GGGGGGGGGGGGGGGGGGGCGGGGCGCGGGCGGGGCGAGCGGAGGGGGGGGGGGGGGGUGGGGUGCUCGGGGGGCGAACGGGUGAGUAGCACGUGAGUAACCUGCCCUUGACUUUGGGGUAACUUCAGGAAACUGGGGCUAAUACCGGCUAGGCGCUCCUGCUGCGUGGUGGGGGUUGGCAAGUUUCGGAGGUUUGUGAUGGCCUCGCGGCUUAUCAGCUAGUUGGUGGGGUAGUGGCUUACCAAGGCUUUGACGGGUCGCCGGCCUGAGAGGGUGACCGGCCACAAGGGGACUGCGAUACGGCCCAGACUCGUACGGGAGGCAGCAGUGGGGAAUAUGGCACAAUGGGAGGAAGAAUGAUGAAGAAACGCAGCGUGCGGGAUGACGGCCUUCGGGUUGUAAACCGCUUCCGCCUGUGACGAAGCGUGAGUGACGGUAAUGGGUAAAGAAGCACCGGCUAACUACGUG